rnacentral:rRNA from 2 species
GGAUGCGAUCAUACCAGCACUAAAGCACCGGAUCCCAUCAGAACUCUGAAGUUAAGCGUGCUUGGGCGAGAGUAGUACUAGGAUGGGUGACCUCCUGGGAAGUCCUCGUGUUCCAUUCC